UUGUAGGGCCAAGAGAAUGUCUGGG
rnacentral:piRNA from 1 species